rnacentral:rRNA from 1 species
CAGAGUUUGAUCCUGGUCAGAACGAACGCUGGCGGCAGGCCUAGCACAUGCAAGUCGAGCGGAUGAAGGGAGCUUGCUCCUGGAUUCAGCGGCGGACGGGUGAGUAAUGCCUAGGAAUCUGCCUGGUAGUGGGGGAUAACGUCCGGAAACGGGCGCUAAUACCGCAUACGUCCUGAGGGAGAAAGUGGGGGAUCUUCGGACCUCACGCUAUCAGAUGAGCCUAGGUCGGAUUAGCUAGUUGGUGGGGUAAAGGCCUACCAAGGCGACGAUCCGUAACUGGUCUGAGAGGAUGAUCAGUCACACUGGAACUGAGACACGGUCCAGACUCCUACGGGAGGCAGCAGUGGGGAAUAUUGGACAAUGGGCGAAAGCCUGAUCCAGCCAUGCCGCGUGUGUGAAGAAGGUCUUCGGAUUGUAAAGCACUUUAAGUUGGGAGGAAGGGCAGUAAGUUAAUACCUUGCUGUUUUGACGUUACCAACAGAAUAAGCACCGGCUAACUUCGUGCCAGCAGCCGCGGUAAUACGAAGGGUGCAAGCGUUAAUCGGAAUUACUGAGCGUAAAGCGCGCGUAGGUGGUUCAGCAAGUUGGAUGUGAAAUCCCCGGGCUCAACCUGGGAACUGCAUCCAAAACUACUGAGCUAGAGUACGGUAGAGGGUGGUGGAAUUUCCUGUGUAGCGGUGAAAUGCGUAGAUAUAGGAAGGAACACCAGUGGCGAAGGCGACCACCUGGACUGAUACUGACACUGAGGUGCGAAAGCGUGGAGAGCAAACAGGAUUAGAUACCCUGGUAGUCCACGCCGUAAACGAUGUCGACUAGCCGUUGGGAUCCUUGAGAUCUUAGUGGCGCAGCUAACGCGAUAAGUCGACCGCCUGGGGAGUACGGCCGCAAGGUUAAAACUCAAAUGAAUUGACGGGGGCCCGCACAAGCGGUGGAGCAUGUGGUUUAAUUCGAAGCAACGCGAAGAACCUUACCUGGCCUUGACUUGCUGAGAACUUUCCAGAGAUGGAUUGGUGCCUUCGGGAACUCAGACACAGGUGCUGCAUGGCUGUCGUCAGCUCGUGUCGUGAGAUGUUGGGUUAAGUCCCGUAACGAGCGCAACCCUUGUCCUUAGUUACCAGCACCUCGGGUGGGCACUCUAAGGAGACUGCCGGUGACAAACCGGAGGAAGGUGGGGAUGACGUCAAGUCAUCAUGGCCCUUACGGCCAGGGCUACACACGUGCUACAAUGGUCGGUACAAAGGGUUGCCAAGCCGCGAGGUGGAGCUAAUCCCAUAAAACCGAUCGUAGUCCGGAUCGCAGUCUGCAACUCGACUGCGUGAAGUCGGAAUCGCUAGUAAUCGUGAAUCGGAAUGUCACGGUGAAUACGUUCCCGGGCCUUGUACACACCGCCCGUCACACCAUGGGAGUGGGUUGCUCCAGAAGUAGCUAGUCUAACCGCAAGGGGGACGGUUACCACGGAGUGAUUCAUGACUGGGGUGAAGUCGUAACAAGGUAGCCGUAGG